CGCAGAAUCAGUGUUGAGUCGUAGACGGGAUCUUUCGCAGAUUUUAUAACUUUCAAGUGAGUUGGUUACAUCGAGAAUGGCAAAUAAAGUUUUAAAUUAUUGUAGCGUCGUGUUUGUUUAUGUUCGCGAUCAUGUAUUGUAGCGUAUUUUGACAGAAAAUUCGCGUAGCGCAAAACGAAAGAAGUCGUGCGACGAACGCUGCGUGCGCAUGCGCGUCGGUAGCCAUAUUCGUUUCGGCGGAUGCGGAAUCAAGUGCGGUGUCAAGUCGUGAAGGAAAUUUUUCGUAGAUUUUAAUCGUUAAACAUUGAGUGUUUGGAUUAAUUUAUGUUGAAAAUAGCAAGCAAACUCUCAAGUUAUCGUCGCGUCGUGUUUGUUUACGUUCACGAUCAUGUGUUAUCGCGCAUUUUUGAGAAAGUCUGUAUGCGAAGCGAGAUAAAUGCGCAGGAAUUUUCAAGGGGUCACACGAGUGAUCGCAAGGACAUCGCGCAAGGAAUUACAGAUACAAUAACUGAAGAAAUACGAUGAAUUUCGAGCAUCGUGUUUUCUGCCGGAAGUUCAAUCCACAGUUGUGUUCUCGAUAAAAUAGGAAAAGAGAGAGCUGAAAAUUGAAGAUCAAAAGAACGAUUACUACACGAAGUGCUACAAUUUAAAUCGGCGAAAGCAAAGGCAGAUUAACAGUCAAUACUAACGAAUGGCUUGGGGCUAAAGUUGUGUCCACUACCGAUGUGAGAUCCAUCUUGUUUCUUCGCUGCCAAAGAGGUCUUUGUGACUGGCGUAAUGUUACCUGCGGAGGCACUAUGUAUCGGAGACGGCAGGUUUGCGGUUGCGGGUGUCACAUGCGGUUUCCAGGU